rnacentral:rRNA from 1 species
CAGCCUACGGGGGGCAGCAGUGAGGAGUAUUGGUCAAUGGGCGGGAGCCUGAACCAGCCAAGUCGCGUGAAGGAAGAAGGUACUUAGUAUUGUAAACUUCUUUUAUUCGGGACGAAACAAAUGACGGUACCGAAUGAAUAAGCCACGGCUAACUACGUGCCAGCAGCCGCGGUAAUACGUAGGUGGCAAGCGUUAUCCGGAUUUACUGGGUGUAAAGGGCGUGUAGGCGGGAGAGCAAGUCAGACGUGAAAUUCCAGAGCUCAACCCUGGAACUGCGUUUGAAACUGUUCUUCUUGAGUGAUGGG